UAUAGAUGUAUAUGUGGUGGGGCUUGCUGCUGUAUGCCAUGGCCAAACUAAGAAGUUCAGACUGUUUUGCACAUACUUGUGUUCCGCAUGUAUGGCUUGGAGGGAUUGCAUGUUACAGAAAAAGGUGAAGCCACAGGAAAACAAAGAAAAAAAGCUGCAUACAAAGAAUUUCAGACAUACAGGGUUGUAGAUCUUUCUAUGAUCUUGUUGCGAGAUGUAGGGAGCUGCCAAGCAGAUUAAAUGUAUAUUAGGCAGUGCUGUAAGGUAUCAGGUAGUUGCAGCAGAAGGCUACACCGGACACAGAAGAUUCCUGUAAUAAGCUACUAUACCAUCAGUGUAGAGGU
rnacentral:lncRNA from 1 species